rnacentral:tRNA from 1 species
GCGAGAGUGGCGGAACUGGUAGACGCGCACGUUUGAGGGGCGUGUGGUUCAUCCAUACGGGUUCAAGUCCCGUUUCUCGCACCA